rnacentral:tRNA from 1 species
GCCCGGGUGGUGGAAUCGGUAGACACGCAGGACUUAAAAUCCUGUGGCCAGCAAUGGCUGUGUGGGUUCAAGUCCCACCCCGGGUAC